UUCAGUGACGUUUCAUCGAACAGAACAAGAAGGAAAACUGAUUAUUGGAACAAAAAAGAUGCCAGCUUCUAUUGCUUCUAUCCAAGCUCUUAAGGAAAAAAUUUGGAAACUACUAGGCUGAAGGGAGACCAGGACCAAGUGAACCUUGUGCUUUGUUGGAUGCUUGAAGGUCUUUAUGCUCAUUCAGUCAAGAACCUAGUGUGUCAGUGUCAGAGACCUUCCUUCUGUCUCUCUUAGGCUUAUCAAACUCUCUGAGCUUACAAAGCCAAAAAGAAUUGUACAGUAUGAUCUGGAAAGCCAAGGCUACUCUGAAGGCCGCUCAUGGAAAAGUGAGCAACCAUGGGCAUGCAUUUCUCCUCACUGGUGUAUCGAAGAGGAUGGGGAGAAGGUUUAUCAUGUGUUUCUGCACUACACAGUUGCAUUAAGUCUGUUCCUUAAACUGUUCAGGGAGGCUGAAGUGAGCAGGGCAAUCCCAAAGGGGUGUCAUGCCUUGUGUGAAAAGCAUGAAGAGUUUGGUGGUAAGAAAAAGGCCAAAGUGAGAAAUAGGAGACUUUUUUAAGACAAUGGUGGGAUGGAGGUGGAGGAUCUUUGGUAUUAACUCAGAUUUUGUUAUAGAAGACCAGCUUCUAUGAACUUAUCUUACAAGGGUUGCUUAUCUUCUAAAGAUGGAACUAUGUAAAAGACCCUUGGUAUCUGGAAUCUUUUCUAGUAUAACAUAUUGCUGAAGCUGUCUGCAACGGUCUGCUGCUUUUUGAGUUCACACCCAUCUCUACCUCAGAAAAGCUUGCAGCAGUGUGACAUUUUGCGGUUUGGAGAUUGAUUUAUUUCUAGUCCUGUAAGACCAAAAGGAACCUGCAGAUGAUAUCAUUUUUACAGGAUGCAAGACCAAAGAAGCCCACAUGCAUGGUGUAUAUUGUGUACUUGCUAAGCUUGUCUGCGUCAGAUACGUAUUCAAGGAUACGAGUUUGCCCAGAAAAAUGGUUGGCAAAUUUUCAACCAUGUCAUGCAUAAGCUUGUUUGCCUCUAAAGCUAUUCUUGGAAUGUUAGAAUUACAUAAGGAAUCCCUUGAAGUCCAAAUAGUGCUUCUGGUUCGUGCCAUAGCCAUUCGGAGAAAUGAACCAUCCCAGUAGAAGAAGAAAAAUAAACUAAAGCAGAAGAUGGGUUUAGAAACAUAGCCUGUAUGUGUUUUGACGAAAUGGAAAUUAGGAAAUCUGGGUUACUGUAUUCUAGUGGUUUCGUGUAAUGCUACAUUGCCCAGAUUGACUUAUAGCUGCAACCCAUCUUUUGUUCUCCUUUUACUUAUCUAUUACAUUUUAUCAGGUCUAUUGAGGAUUGGAAUGAAAUAUUUUUAGGAUUGCAUGGCAUUGUUUCCUUAUAUUGUUAACAAUUA